UAGCUCAGUCAGUUGAGCGUGGUGCUAACAACACCAAGGUCGCGGGUUCAAUUCCUGU
rnacentral:tRNA from 1 species